UACGGGGGGAGCAAGCGUUGUUCGGAUUUACUGGGCGUAAAGGGCGCGUAGGCGGCCUCUGCAAGUCGACUGUGAAAUCUCCGGGCUUAACCCGGAAAGGUCAGCCGAUACUGCAGGGCUAGAGUGCAGAAGGGGCAACUGGAAUUCUCGGUGUAGCGGUGAAAUGCGUAGAUAUCGAGAGGAACACCUGCGGCGAAGGCGUGUUGCUGGGCUGACACUGACGCUGAGGCGCGAAAGCUAGGGGAGCGAACGGG
rnacentral:rRNA from 1 species